rnacentral:rRNA from 1 species
UACGUAGGGUGCGAGCGUUAAUCGGAAUUACUGGGCGUAAAGCGUGCGCAGGCGGUUAUUUAAGUCAGGUGUGAAAGCCCUGGGCUUAACCUAGGAAUUGCGCUUGAGACUGGAUAGCUUGGAGUGCGGCAGAGGGAGGUGGAAUUCCACGUGUAGCAGUGAAAUGCGUAGAGAUGUGAAGGAACACCGAUGGCGAAGGCAGCCUCCUGGGCCAGCACUGACGCUCAUGCACGAAAGCGUGGGGAGCAAACAGG